rnacentral:lncRNA from 1 species
GCCAACCGAUGAUGCCACCUUAGGCUUUGUUUAGUUUCGAAAAGUAAAAAGUUUUUGAUAUUAUAGCACUUUCGUUUGUUUGUGACAAAUAUUAUCCAAUCAUGGACUAACUAGGAUUAAAAGAUUCGUCUCGUGAUUUACAGCUAAACUGUGUAAUUAGUUUUUAUUUUCGUCUAUAUUUAAUGUUUCAUGUAUGUGCUAUAAAAUUCGAUGUAACGGAGAAACUUGAAAACUUUUUGUUUUCACAGUGCACUAAACAAGGCCUUCGACCCCCCCCGACGUUCAGCUCGGGGACGAACUAUUUGAAGAGGUGGAAAGAGAUAUUAGGAUCGGAGUUAACUAUAGGUGCUACGGCCACAAAAGUGGCUAACGUCACAUUGGCCUGAGAGGGCGAGAGGACUCCAAGAGCUUGUCAAAUAUUAGUAGUUAAAUUUUAUUGUUUAGUUGUUUUAUAAAAUAAAAAAAAUAAAAAGAGUUUGCUGAAUGCCUGACACUUAGCAAAGUUCAAAUGGAAAAAGGAAAACCCAAAAAAAUUAGAAAAACAAAUAAUCGAGAAAGGCCAUGACCAGCCAGCACCCAUCUUCGCUGAAGUCGCAAGUCACGGCUUUUUUGCUGGCGGGAUUCAAACCCGCGACCACUUCCUCACGCAAUAACUCUUCUAACCACUACACUACAUAGUCACAUGUGUCUAUAAGUCAUUUUGGUUCCUCACAUAUUUUUUUAACCGAGUGUAAAUUGCAUGUUUAAAGCCAUAAACAAAUUUAAAUAAAAAAAUUAUCAACUACAAAGUUUCAUAACUUUUCGACAUUUACACUUCUUGUUUAGAAAGCUUCUCCA